rnacentral:rRNA from 1 species
UACGAAGGGUGCAAGCGUUACUCGGAAUUACUGGGCGUAAAGCGUGCGUAGGUGGUUUGUUAAGUCUGCUGUGAAAGCCCCGGGCUCAACCUGGGAAUGGCAGUGGAUACUGGCAAGCUAGAGUGCGGUAGAGGGUAGUGGAAUUCCCGGUGUAGCGGUGAAAUGCGUAGAGAUCAGGAGGAACACCAGUGGCGAAGGCGGCUACCUGGACCAGCACUGACACUCAGGCACGAAAGCGUGGGGAGCAAACAGG